rnacentral:rRNA from 1 species
AUUGAACGCUGGCGGCUUGCCUUACACAUGCAAGUCGAACGGUAACAGGUCUCCGGAUGCUGACGAGUGGUGAACGGGUGAGUAAUACAUCGGAACGUGCCCGAGAGUGGGGGACAACGAGGCGAAAGCUUUGCUAAUACCGCAUACGAUCUCAGGAUGAAAGCAGGGGACCGCAAGGCCUUUCGCACACGGACGGGCCGAUGGCAGAUCAGGUAGUUGGUGGGAUAAAAGCUUACCAAGCCGACGAUCUGUAGCUGGUCUGAGAGGACGACCAGCCACACUGGGACUGAGACACGGCCCAGACUCCUACGGGAGGCAGCAGUAGGGAAUUUUGGACAAUGGGCGCAAGCCUGAUCCAGCCAUGCCGCGUGCAGGAUGAAGGCCUUCGGGUUGUAAACUGCUUUUGUACGGAACGAAAAGACUCUGGUUAAUACCUGGGGUCCAUGACGGUACCGUAAGAAUAAGCACCGGCUAACUACGUGCCAGCAGCCGCCGUAACAC